AGUCAAAGAGAGAGGGGGACACGAGGAUGUGAAAAAGGCAACGGUGAACAGAAGUGUCAGAUUUCCCAACCUGUGGUGGCGGGGCGGCUGGUAGGACGCCAUAGCUGCCCUGCUUGUCUCGGCUGAACGCAAGCUUCCAUAAGACGACGUCAAGGACGAGGGUCUAUGGAAUAUUGCAGUGGGGCGGAAAGAAUGAAAAGAGCUACUGAUCACAUCGCUUUCAUAAGAUCUCAAUUGCUUCAGCAGUGUCGUUUGAGUAGCAAAACUACAUAACACCUAUUCAGAAGUGGAGUGAUUUCAGGCUGUGCGUUAGUCAUGGAGAGAGACAGGGAAAGAGAGCCAAGGAGUUAUUGUGGACAACAAGAAACCAGUAAAAUAGUCAGUAGUUCAUCUAAAGAACAAAAAGAUUACUGGGCAUGUUCCCACUAUAGCCACUAAUCACAUGAUUGGUCACGAUGAUCUGAUCUUUCCUGCUGAUUGGCCAAAACACGGCGGUUUUAGAGGGGAGGGACGGAGACGGCGUCACCUGCGCUCGGUGGCAGGCAGCUCAUUGGCUUAGGAGACUCUAGGGGAGGGAGCUCACUGAUAAUGUCACUACAGAGCAGUGAAAAGUUGAGAGCUGGCAGCUGUCAAUCAGUGACGUUUCCCGGCCAGUGGAACAGGUUCCGAGACGGAGAGGGAGGCAUUUUCUCUAUGUUUCUACGUCUUGGGGAUUCAAAAGGCAGUCAAAGGGAGCUUGAGGGGUCCAGGGCUCAUACCAGCUCUCUUGACGGACCCAAAGAAAGGCGAGGGUUUGGAAGCCCAGGCAGAUGAGGAUCUGAGUCAUCACUGAGAAGAGCAGGGGCCCUGAGAUCAGACCAGAAGGAGGCCGUCGAGACACCAGUUCCUUCCAUGCAGGAUUUAAACUCACUGAGAGAGUAAGAGAAAAGGGAACAACUCUAUAGCAGGAACUGCAGUAGUCUGUAAAACUGCAACAUACAAAGUAAGGAAUAUAUUGUUUGACUGUCUUACAAGCUUCAAAUGUAAACUAGACUUUAAGUGGUUAAAAUGCCCAUUCCUAGUGAUAAAAUUUGCACUGGCAUUGAAUAAUCAGCUUAAACAAGCUCAGUUGGCCAACAGUGUGGGACACAUCAUAUAAAAUAUGAGCGACAGUCAGACACUAUCACCAAUGGUCUGAUGGUGGACCCAAGUUAGUGAACGGACUCUAAUGUUAAGCCUAAUUCUAGUGAAAGUAUACACCUUUCAGGCUGGUAAACAUUUGUAUUAUGAAUGAAACUCACUGGUAAAUACAAUAAGAAGGAUGAUGGCAAUGUCAAUAAAGAGGAACUGGAAAUCUC